rnacentral:rRNA from 1 species
GACGAACGCUGGCGGCGUGCCUAAUACAUGCAAGUCGAGCGGACAGAAGGGAGCUUGCUCCCGGAAGUUAGCGGCGGACGGGUGAGUAACACGUGGGCAACCUACCCUGUAGAUCGGGAUAACAUCGAGAAAUCGGUGCUAAUACCGGAUAAUCAUUUGAAGUGCAUGCUUCGAAUGUAAAAGAUGGCUCCGGCUAUCACUACGGGAUGGGCCCGCGGCGCAUUAGCUAGUUGGUAAGGUAAUGGCUUACCAAGGCAACGAUGCGUAGCCGACCUGAGAGGGUGAUCGGCCACACUGGGACUGAGACACGGCCCAGACUCCUACGGGAGGCAGCAGUAGGGAAUCUUCCGCAAUGGACGAAAGUCUGACGGAGCAACGCCGCGUGAGUGAUGAAGGUUUUCGGAUCGUAAAGCUCUGUUGUUAGGGAAGAACAAGUGCCGUUUGAAUAAGGCGGCACCUUGACGGUACCUAACCAGAAAGCCCCGGCUGACUCCGUGCCAGCCGCCGCAGUAACAC